GCAUGUCAUAGAUCCUCCCACUGACUUUAUCAAGUCAUGAGAAAUAUUAGAGACAAGUCAGUCCAGGGCACCUAAAUCAGUCAUACUGAUUAACCUUAACAACAUGGGUCAACUCGAGUCACCUAGCGAUCUAAUUAGCUUAAUGACUCGGGCUCGACCUUUGAGCCUGAAUCAAGAUCUAUUUGGUUUGAUCAAAGAUAUAGACUUGAUCAAC
rnacentral:lncRNA from 1 species